rnacentral:lncRNA from 1 species
UGGAUACUUGUGGACUUACCUCCAAACAAUAAAAUCUUAAAACAACUACAUACAUAGGCUUUACAAAGGGGAAAAAUUUUACAAUGUAACUGUCGUGUUCAUAAACUCAAGAGUACAUAUAGGUUGGUCGAAGCUGUGUUCAUAAACACUUACAGAAAAGGGGAUAAGGUUGUAAACCAAAAUAACUACAGAUGUUAUCAAGUAAAAUAAAAAAUAAUAAUUUUUUUGGGCCAUCACCGAAGUGGGACCUUAGGUGAUCGUCUAUCCAGCCUAUAGUCUGGGCUGAUACUACAAGUAUAAGAGAUCUACCUUCAGGGCUCAUGAUAGGCAAGUGAUCAUGAAGAGGAGAACUUGGAACUACGAUUUGAAGAAGUAGAGCUGAUACUAUUGUUCUGACCAAUUUGCCAAUCCCUCUCUCCGUAGAGUGGCUUCAAAAAGCCUUUCUCAAUUGUCAUACCCAAUUGAACCAGAUUCUUGAUUGUUCAAUUUGAAGGAUCUACUAGAAAGAGAUUGGGAUGGGUAUGAUUGAUUGGAGAAGAGGUAUAAAGAGAGAUCUACUGGAUUAGGGUAGGUAUGAUAAAUUGUGAUUAUUUACGUAAAGAGAGAAUUGUGUAGAGUUAUGAUGGAAUUGGGUUUUCAAAAUUUCAUAUACAAUAAUAUCUUACAAAUUUAAUAUAUUAUUAUUAUUUAUCCCUUGAU